GAUGAACGCUGGCGGCGUGCCUAAUACAUGCAAGUCGAGCGAACAGACGAGAGUGCUUGCACUCUCUGACGUUAGCGGCGGACGGGUGAGUAACACGUGGGUAACCCACCUAUAAGACUGGGAUAACUUCGGGAAACCGGAGCUAAUACCGGAUAAUAUUUAGCUUCGCAUGAAGCAAUAGUGAAAGACGGUUCUGCUAUCACUUAUAGAUGGACCCGCGGUGUAUUAGCUAGUUGGUGAGGUAACGGCUCACCAAGGCAACGAUACAUAGCCGACCUGAGAGGGUGAUCGGCCACACUGGGACUGAGACACGGCCCAGACUCCUACGGGAGGCAGCAGUAGGGAAUCUUCCGCAAUGGACGAAAGUCUGACGGAGCAAUGCCGCGUGAGUGAAGAAGGUUUUCGGAUCGUAAAACUCUGUUGUAAGGGAAGAACAAGUACGUUAGUAACUGAACGUACCUUGACGGUACCUUACCAGAAAGCCACGGCUAACUACGUG
rnacentral:rRNA from 1 species